CUCCCAGGGAAUUGGCACGGCACCUGCAAUAACACUGGCAACAAUUUACAAAAGCGCGGACCUCAACGACGAGGGCCGCACUUCCCGAUCGAUCGGGACUUGGACAAAGGCGUCCUCGCUGGGCAACCAGCGGGACGCC
rnacentral:sRNA from 1 species